ensembl:snoRNA
AUCUUUUCAGUUAUAAGCAUAAUGACUGAACAUUCACACUGCUCUGAGAACUGUGCCUCCCGUUAAACCUUGUUAUGACACAUGCACAUUACCUAAUGUUAAA